GGCGCGAAGCUGCACGUAAGGUGGGGAAGGCAAAGAGACUGCGCGGCGAGCGCGCACUGUGGGGCGCGCCCGCUUCCCGCCGCAGACCCCGGAGUGAACUGCGCUCCACGGAGGCCUGUGCUGGGAAGAAGCCGAGGAGUCUGAUGUGGUUUAUAAACAUAUAAACGGAUCAUUACUUAUAGAUUAUACAUAAAAAUGUUUUCAUCAAAGGAAAGUGUGAAGAUUAAAAUGGAAGAGCUCUGGAUCA